CCAAUAGCGUAUAUUAAAGUUGCUGCAGUUAAAAAGCUCGUAGUUGAAUUUCGGGACCAUCAUGUCGGUCGUGCCUCGGUACGUACUGGCAUUGUUGGUUUCUACCUUCUGACGAACCAUGAUGUCAUUUAUUUGGUGUCGUGGGAAAUCAGGACUGUUACUUUGAAAAAAUUAGAGUGUUUAAAGCAGGCUCACGCUUGAAUACAUUAGCAUGGAAUAAUGAAAUAGGACGUUUGAUUCUAUUUUGUUGGUUUCUAGGAUCGACGUAAUGAUUAAUAGGGAUAGUUGGGGGCAUUAGUAUUCAAUUGUCAGAGGUGAAAUUCUUGGAUUUAUUGAAGACUAACUACUGCGAAAGCAUUUGCCAAGGAUGUUUUCAUUAAUCAAGAACGAAAGUUAGGGGAUCGAAGACGAUCAGAUACCGUCGUAGUCUUAACCAUAAACUAUGCCGACUAGGGAUCGGAUGAUGUUAAUUUUUUAAUGACUCAUUCGGCGCCUUACGGAAAACUAAAGUGUUUGGGUUC
rnacentral:rRNA from 1 species